rnacentral:rRNA from 1 species
UACGUAGGGUGCGAGCGUUGUCCGGAAUUAUUGGGCGUAAAGAGCUUGUAGGCGGUCUGUCGCGUCUGCUGUGAAAAUCCGGGGCUCAACCCCGGACUUGCAGUGGGUACGGGCAGACUAGAGUGUGGUAGGGGAGACUGGAAUUCCUGGUGUAGCGGUGAAAUGCGCAGAUAUCAGGAGGAACACCGAUGGCGAAGGCAGGUCUCUGGGCCGAUACUGACGCUGGAGGAAGCGAAAAGCGUGGGGAGCGAACAGG